AGCAGCCGCGGUAAUUCCAGCUCCAAUAGCGUAUAUUAAAGUUGUUGCAGUUAAAAAGCUCGUAGUUGAAUUUCGGGGUCAGUAGGCUGGUCGUGCCACAGGUACGUACUGGUCUCACUGAUUCCUCCUUCCUGAUGAACUGUAAUGCCAUUAAUUUGGUGUUGCGGGGAAACUGGACUGUUACUUUGAAAAAAUUAGAGUGUUUAAAGCAGGCUAACGCUUGAAUACAUUAGCAUGGAAUAAUGGAAAUAGGACGUUCGAUCCUAUUUUGUUGGUUUCUAGGAUUGACGUAAUGAUUAAUAGGGAUAGUUGGGGGCAUUAGUAUUCAAUUGUCAGAGGUGAAAUUCUUGGAUUUAUUGAAGACUAACUACUGCGAAAGCAUUUGCCAAGGAUGUUUUCAUUAAUCAAGAACGAAAGUUAGGGGAUCGAAGACGAUCAGAUACCGUCGUAGUCUUAACCAUAAACUAUGCCGACUAGGGAUCGGAUGAUGUUAAUUUUUAAUGACUCAUUCGGCGCCUUA
rnacentral:rRNA from 1 species